rnacentral:rRNA from 1 species
AGAGUUUGAUCCUGGCUCAGAAUCAACGCUGGCGGCGUGCCUCAGACAUGCAAGUCGAACGAUUAAACUUUCCUCGGGAAAGAUAUAAAGUGGCGCACGGGUGAGUAACACGUAAGUAAUCUACCUUUCGAGUGGGGAAUAACGUUCGGAAACGAACGCUAAUACCGCAUAAUGCAGCGGCAUCGCAAGAUGACAGUUGUUAAAGGAGCAAUCCGCUUGAAGAGGAGCUUGCGGCAGAUUAGCUAGUUGGUAAGGUAAUGGCUUACCAAGGCUACGAUCUGUAUCCGGUCUAAGAGGACGGUCGGACACACUGACACUGAAUAACGGGUCAGACUCCUACGGGAGGCAGCAGUCGGGAAUUUUGGGCAAUGGGCGAAAGCCUGACCCAGCAACGCCGCGUGAAGGAUGAAGUAUUUCGGUAUGUAAACUUCGAAAGAAUAGGAAGAAUAAAUGACGGUACUAUUUAUAAGCUCCGGCUAACUACGUGCCAGCAGCCGCGGUAAUACGUAGGGAGCAAGCGUUGUUCGGAUUUACUGGGCGUAAAGGGCGCGUAGGCGGCGCGACAAGUCACUUGUGAAAUCUCCGGGCUUAACUCGGAACGGCCAAGUGAAACUGUCAUGCUAGAGUGCAGAAGGGGCAAUCGGAAUUCUUGGUGUAGCGGUGAAAUGCGUAGAUAUCAAGAGGAACACCUGAGGUGAAGACGGGUUGCUGGGCUGACACUGACGCUGAGGCGCGAAAGCCAGGGGAGCAAACGGGAUUAGAUACCCCGGUAGUCCUGGCCCUAAACGAUGAAUACUUGGUGUCUGGAAUUAUUAUUGUUCCGGGUGCCGUCGCUAACGUUUUAAGUAUUCCGCCUGGGGAGUACGCACGCAAGUGUGAAACUCAAAGGAAUUGACGG